rnacentral:rRNA from 1 species
GCGUACCAUUAGCUAGUUGGCAGGGUAAAGGCCUACCAAGGCGACGAUGGUUAGCGGGUCUGAGAGGAUGAUCCGCCACACUGGAACUGAAACACGGACCAGACUCCUACGGGAGGCAGCAGUGAGGAAUAUUGCGCAAUGGGGGCAACCCUGACGCAGCGACGCCGCGUGGAUGAUGAAGGCCUUCGGGUCGUAAAAUCCUGUCGGAUGGAAAGAAGUGUGAUGUGGUUAAUACCCAUGUCAUUUGACGGUACCAUCAGAGGAAGCACCGGCUAACUCCGUGCCAGCAGCCGCGGUAAUACGGAGGGUGCAAGCGUUGUUCGGAAUUACUGGGCGUAAAGCGCGCGUAGGCGGUUUGUUAAGUCAGAUGUGAAAGCCCCGGGCUUAACCUGGGACGUGCAUUUGAAACUGUCAGACUUGAGUAUUGGAGGGGGUGGUGGAAUUCCCGGUGUAGAGGUGAAAUUCGUAGAUAUCGGGAGGAAUACCGGUGGCGAAGGCGACCACCUGGCCAAAUACUGACGCUGAGGUGCGAAGGCGUGGGGAGCAAACAGGAUUAGAUACCCUGGUAGUCCACGCGGUAAACGAUGAGAACUAGGUGUUGGGACGGUUGAUCGUCUCAUUGCCGCAGCUAACGCAUUAA